UGGGGAAUUUUGGACAAUGGGCGAAAGCCUGAUCCAGCAAUGCCGCGUGUGUGAAGAAGGCCUUCGGGUUGUAAAGCACUUUUGUCCGGAAAGAAAUCCUUGGCUCUAAUACAGUCGGGGGAUGACGGUACCGGAAGAAUAAGCACCGGCUAACUACGUGCCAGCAGCCGCGGUAAUACGUAGGGUGCAAGCGUUAAUCGGAAUUACUGGGCGUAAAGCGUGCGCAGGCGGUUUGCUAAGACCGAUGUGAAAUCCCCGGGCUCAACCUGGGAACUGCAUUUGGGUGACUGGCAGGCUAGAGUAUGGCAGAGGGGGGUUAGAAUUCCACGUGUAGCAGUGAAAUGCGUAGAGAUGUGGAGGAAUACCGAUGGCGAAGGCAGCCCCCUGGGCCAAUACUGACGCUCAUGCACGAAAGCGUGGGGAGCAAACAGGAUUAGAUACCCUGGUAGUCCACGCCCUAAACGAUGUCAACUAGUUGUUGGGGAUUCAUUUCCUUAGUAACGUAGCUAACGCGUGAAGUUGACCGCCUGGGGAGUACGGUCGCAAGAUUAAAACUCAAAUGAAUUGACGGGGUCAUAGCUGUUU
rnacentral:rRNA from 1 species